rnacentral:lncRNA from 1 species
GUGGUGUUCUUAAUUUGUGUUUCUAUUCUUGUCCGGGUCAUAGGACCCUUCCUAUGAGACUGCAGGGUGCUGAGGAAGGAGAAGGUGUCCCAGGACGGGGCUCCUGCAGCUCUGGGACGGGGCCUGCACUCACCCACCGACUGGGAGAGUGUGUUCUUCUACACUCCACGUAAACUGCUUCAAGGCCAGGCCCCUGCAUGGCCCUCGACUGAAGGGCUGCUGCUGCUGGAUGCUGGGGAAGCAGCCUCCCUGGCUGCCUUCUGGUGUCUUCCAGUGCCCAGGGCCACGACCAUCACCUCUGUUCCUGCCUUGCAAACAAAAGCAGCCACCCUAGUGUCAAUGUCCCUGCUUCUUGGUGCUCUGAUGAGGACUUAUUUCCUUAGCUAGAGAAAACAGAGGACUUCCCAAGUCCUGAUUUGAGCAACUCCUCUGUUUAAACAGUUCAGGAUAUCCUGCGAAUUUUACUGGUGUGUCCUCAAGUGUUACUAUCAUCCUUGUUUAAAAGGAGCUGUUUCUGACCUGGUGGCUGGAGGAGACGCCUUUUGCCUGCCUCCCCAGCCUGGAGCGGCUGCUGCCGGCUGUGUUUAUUUGGGUUAUGUAACAUAAACAGCUCCAAGGAGAUAGGCUCCUCCGCUCUGGCUUUGAGGCUCAGCCUCCACUUGCCCUCUGCAGAGCUUGCCGCUCGGGUGGUUCCCUCUGCUGUGUCUGCGUUGCUGCCUGAAAACAAAACAGCCCUGUGUGACCUUCUUGGGACCAUCCCUUUCCUCUGGAAGGUCCAGUAGAGAAAGUGAGGGACGCUGAUGAUAAGUGUGACCUCUGGGUCUUGCCUGGGCUGGGACUUGAUGGGUCCUGAGGCAUCUGUGUCUCUGGGCCUCUUCCCUGAGACGUGGUUCCUCUGGUCAGGACCGUCCCUAGGACUUUGGAAGCAUGAUUCUGGGUGGCACGUGGGUCCACAUCCUUCUUUUCAGGGCUGUGUCUGAUGUGUAAGACACACGUGACGUAUAAGGAGAGAAGUUCAAACGGGUGUGGACUGCAGCUCCAUGCCAUCUCCCCACGGACACCGCUUCAGCCUCGCGCAUUCAAAGCCUGGCCUUGCUAAUCAGACCAGCGCCUGGCUUCUCCCCGGUGGCUUCUCAAAACGGAGCUACGGCUGCACAUCUUCCUGCUCCGAGUUUGGCUCGGCCCAUGGCAUUCGAGGCACAGUUGGACUAGAACCCAUUUUUAGUAAAGAACUCUCCCAGGGCUGCCCC